GAUGAACGCUAGCGGCAGGCUUAACACAUGCAAGUCGAGGGGUAUAGUUCUUCGGAGCUAGAGACCGGCGCACGGGUGCGUAACGCGUAUGCAAUCUACCUUUUGCAGAGGGAUAGCCCAGAGAAAUUUGGAUUAAUACCUCAUGGUAUGUGAGAAUGGCAUCAUUUUCACAUUAAAGUCACAACGGCAAAAGAUGAGCAUGCGUCCCAUUAGCUAGUUGGUAAGGUAACGGCUUACCAAGGCAACGAUGGGUAGGGGUCCUGAGAGGGAGAUCCCCCACACUGGUACUGAGACACGGACCAGACUCCUACGGGAGGCAGCAGUGAGGAAUAUUGGACAAUGGGCGCAAGCUUGAUCCAGCCAUGCCGCGUGCAGGAUGACGGUCCUAUGGAUUGUAAACUGCUUUUGUACAGGAAGAAACACUGGUUCGUGAACCAGCUUGACGGUACUGUAAGAAUAAGGAUCGGCUAACUCCGUGCCAGCCGCCGCCGUAACAU
rnacentral:rRNA from 1 species